UGGGGAAUUUUGGACAAUGGGCGAAAGCCUGAUCCAGCAAUGCCGCGUGUGUGAAGAAGGCCUUCGGGUUGUAAAGCACUUUUGUCCGGAAAGAAAUCCUUGGCUCUAAUACAGUCGGGGGAUGACGGUACCGGAAGAAUAAGCACCGGCUAACUACGUGCCAGCAGCCGCGGUAAUACGUAGGGUGCAAGCGUUAAUCGGAAUUACUGGGCGUAAAGCGUGCGCAGGCGGUUUGCUAAGACCGAUGUGAAAUCCCCGGGCUCAACCUGGGAACUGCAUUGGUGACUGGCAGGCUAGAGUAUGGCAGAGGGGGGUAGAAUUCCACGUGUAGCAGUGAAAUGCGUAGAGAUGUGGAGGAAUACCGAUGGCGAAGGCAGCCCCCUGGGCCAAUACUGACGCUCAUGCACGAAAGCGUGGGGAGCAAACAGGAUUAGAUACCCUGGUAGUCCACGCCCUAAAACGAUGUCAACUAGUUGUUGGGGAUUCAUUUCCUUAGUAACGUAGCUAACGCGUGAAGUUGACCGCCUGGGGAGUACGGCCGCAAGAUUAAAACUCAAAGGAAUUGAC
rnacentral:rRNA from 1 species